GCUGGGCAUGGUGGCGCAUGCCUGUAAUCCCAGCUACUCGGGAGGCUGAGGUAGGAGAAUUGCUUGAACCCGGGAGUUGGAGUUUGCAGUGAGCCGAGAUCACGCCACUGCACUCCAGCCUGUGCUACAGAGUGAGACUCGGUCUCAA
rnacentral:SRP_RNA from 1 species